AAGCCAUGGUAUGGGCAUUUUUUAAGAGAUUCCUUGUACUUCUCCCAGGCUUUGUAUAAUGAUUCUAUAUUUAAAUGCAUAAAGUUGGUGAUGCCAUCAUAUAGUUU